rnacentral:rRNA from 1 species
UACAGAGGUCUCAAGCGUUGCUCGGAAUCACUGGGCGUAAAGGGCGCGUAGGCGGGGGAGGUAAGUCGGGUGUGAAAUCCCUCGGCCCAACCGAGGAACUGCGCCCGAGACUGCUUCUCUUGAGUCCCGGAGAGGAAGGUGGAAUUCCCGGUGUAGCGGUGAAAUGUGUAGAGAUCGGGAGGAACACCGGUGGCGAAGGCGGCCUUCUGGACGGUGACUGACGCUGAGGCGCGAAAGCGUGGGGAGCAAACGGG